CCCCAGUAGCGGCGAGCGAACGGGGAGCAGCCCGGAGUCUGAAUCAGCUUGUGUGUUAGUGGAACGGUCUGGAAAGUCCGACGGUACAGGGUGAUAGUCCCGUACACGAAAAUGCACAUGCUGUGAACUCGAAGAGUAGGGCGGGACACGUGGUAUCCUGUCUGAAUAUGGGGGGACCAUCCUCCAAGGCUAAAUACUCCUGACUGACCGAUAGUGAACCAGUACCGUG
rnacentral:rRNA from 1 species